rnacentral:rRNA from 1 species
AUUGAACGCUGGCGGCAGGCCUAACACAUGCAAGUCGAGCGGCAGCGGGAAAGUAGCUUGCUACUUUUGCCGGCGAGCGGCGGACGGGUGAGUAAUGCCUGGGGAUCUGCCCAGUCGAGGGGGAUAACUACUGGAAACGGUAGCUAAUACCGCAUACGCCCUACGGGGGCAAGCAGGGGACCUUCGGGCCUUGCGCGAUUGGAUGAACCCAGGUGGGAUUAGCUAGUUGGUGAGGUAAUGGCUCACCAAGGCGACGAUCCCUAGCUGGUCUGAGAGGAUGAUCAGCCACACUGGAACUGAGACACGGUCCAGACUCCUACGGGAGGCAGCAGUGGGGAAUAUUGCACAAUGGGGGAAACCCUGAUGCAGCCAUGCCGCGUGUGUGAAGAAGGCCUUCGGGUUGUAAAGCACUUUCAGCGAGGAGGAAAGGUUGGUAGCUAAUAACUGCCAGCUGUGACGUUACUCGCAGAAGAAGCACCGGCUAACUCCGUGCCAGCAGCCGCCGUAAAAC